UCUGGUCCGACUUAGCCCUGGCCUCACUUGGGCCGCGUCGGCGGGAAGAAGCGGUUCCCUUCCCUGUGGCCUUUGCAGAUGGCUGAAGGGGGCUUCCUGGCCGCACUUCUCCCGGAAGUCUUUCUGAAAUAGGAAGUACGAAGGUCCUCGUUUUCAGGCGUGUUCUCGUGGGGUUUGUUCUUCACUGUGAAGGAAACACCUUUUAAACUUGUCAUUAAGAGCGCCCUCUCGUGGAGGCUGGGCCUGUGGUGUUCUCAGAGUUUUAAAUCCUUUGGAAUUUCCUGAGUGACAGGAGGAUAUUUGCUGUACUAAUGAGAGCCCUACAAACUGAAGCUGGAAACUUGAAUAUAAAUUUCAAGAGACAAACCUCAUGACUGAUGUGUGGACUGCAUAGAAAUUUCAACAAAAUUCUCAGUGCCAUAACCAGAAAUAUUCAAACCACACACAGGCUGAGAAAAUAAUGUCAGAACAAGAUUCUGUAUACUAAUGAGACCCUUACCCUAUUGAUUGCCCCUCAUUUAUGCCUACUUUUCACUUGGUAGAACAAUCAUGUAGUUAAGAUUUUACAAUUAAUAUCUAUUGCGAUUAGCUAUUGACAGAUUCUGAUCUAAGAAAUCUUUUGGUACACAUGGUAACUUUGGCAGAAUCCCUAAUUUGAUCAAAUUAUACUAAUGGUCCCUUUUUUGCAAAAUUAUUUAAAUAAUGUAAUCAUGGAAUAUCAAAUUACAGCAUUACUCUAGAUGCUUUAUUGGUUAAAUAAGAAAAAAUUUCUGUUAUUGCUAAUACUGUUUCUGAGGUUACUGGAUCCAAUUGCUUGCAAAUAAGAGAACAGGCUCAAAUACUGCAGAAUGUCUCACCCAGCUCCAUUUGGUCAUUUGAUUAUUCAGUUGCUUACCUUUGAGACUAGAUUCUUGGUUCAAAAUUGUUAUGCAAAUGAAAUUUGUUAUUCUCUU